GGGUGCGAUCGUACCAACUUUAAUGCACCGUAUCCCAUCGGAACUCUGCAGUUAAGCGUUCUUGGGCUAGAGUAGUACUGGGACGGGUGACCUCCCAAGAAGUCCUAGUGUUUCACCCU
rnacentral:rRNA from 1 species